GCGCUAUCCGGUCAGAACUACGUAGAUUUAGACCCAUUUUUGCAUGACGCGGCUUAAAUGAACUAUGAAAUACGAUUGCAAAGGGUUGUGUUCACAAUUGCUAGAUGAACAAGAUUUUAUCACAGUAUUGAACAUCUCCGACGACGCAUUUCGUAAGUUGUAAGAUUCCUGUAAACAAAUUAUAAGUUGAAAAAAGGAGCAAUCGUUAGCAAUAUGUACGUUGUAAAAUACUAAUUGCAUAUGUACGACUUCAAUUCAUAUGGGGCAAUGAUUGUAAGAAUGAAUUGUGUGCACUGUAAACUUCGUGGAACAGAUUUACGUUUAGGGACAAACAAAGGGACGAACAGAUUGACGGACCGAAAAAAAGACAGGCGGACGCACAAAAGAUAACGGAUUUCCACUGUGAAUCCAGUAUAUUCCAUUAACUUCGUUGUGGGGGAGUGGUGUGAUAAAAAGUUUGUCUUAGCUCAAUAAGUAAGACCGCUAAAGUAAUACUUAAAGCUUUAUUAAUGCCAAAUGGCACAUUUCUCAACAAAGUUUUUCACAGCUUAAUUGGUUGAUAGAAAACAACAGUUCCUUCAUUUAUUCUUAAGAAAUAUUGCUCCAAAAUAUUUUAAUUAAUAUAAUAGCAAUAUUUCAUUCAGCUUAGUCUAAAUAUAUAUAUCCGUUCUUAAUGCAGAACUAUGUUGAGGUACUAUUCCAAUAGUACAAUAAUUUGGAAAAUAAAACAAUUCUUAAAUCGGAGUAUAAAGCCAUCAACCACAGCUACAAAAAUCUGUAAGUAAUAAAAAGUAAUAAAAUAAUAUCACUUCGCAUACUAAUUCGCAUAAACAAAACUACAAACUCUCAUACUACAAGACUGCAGACAGUUAUAUUAAAACAUCGCAGAAAUAAUCUUAAAGAUUCAAUAUCAGAUUCGGCAUAUUAAUUCUCAAAUUUAUUAAAACGAUAGCACAAGUUUCAAACGUUAACUAAAUGCAAUCCUCAUAUAUUACAGAGUUCACGUUUUCAUGUGAAUCGUUAAACGAAAAAUACAAAAAAGUAAAUUUUAUAAUAUGACGUGAUAAUAAGUAAAUAAUAAGUAUACUAAUCUCUGGCUAAUGACAAUCCCGUGCAGUGCAAUUCGUAGUGCGCUUGAGGUUUAAUUCAAUAUCACAGAUACAAUAGAACACAUAUACACUUUUUAGGUGUACAUGGAUUUACGCCUAUAUUAGCGCUACUGGGUGGAAUUGGAUGGUUACCGAGCACUUAUCGUAGAUGGCUUGCAAUGAUCAGGUUUUGGAACAGACUUGUAAGACUUGACGAAAAUAGAUUAACCAAACGAGCAUUUGAUAGGGACUACUGUUCAUCAAAUAACAAUGACUGGUGCAGUGAUUUUAAAACGGUAGUGGCUAGUCUUAACCUUACGGAUUAUUAUAACCAUAAACGUCUCAUUCCAAUGGAUUUAGCUAAAGAAAACAUGACUCAGUUUUACUCAAUAAUUUCGUCUAGAGACUAUGAACAUGUUUCAAAGUUAAGAACAUAUAGAACCUUCGAAACUGAACUUGUCUGUGAAGAAUACCUUACACUGAACUUAAGAAGAAAUGAACGCGCUUUAUUUGCACAAUUCAGAACCGGAAGUAUGCCACUUAGGGUCGAGACCGGAAGGUAUGUGGGCAAAGCCCCCUAGCAAAGACGGUGUAGGUUGUGUAAUAGUGGACUGGUCGAAGAUGAAACUCAUUUUCUUGUUGAAUGUGCUCUUUAUGAAAACACAAGAUCAGUUAUAUUUGGGAAUAUUCUGAUCUCUGAAGAAUAUACUACAUGUCAAUCAAAUAAAGAUAAAUUAAUUGUGUUGGUUAAACGUCAUCCUAGAAAGUGUUCGAAAUUUGUUGUUAUGCGUUUUAUAUCAGAAGCAGUAUGUUAUAUAUGUAAAAAUAUCUGUUGUAUGCAGUUGUGUCAUUUUAAACUUUAAAAUAAUAUAAUAUUGUAAAUGAACUUCUAAGUAUCAUCUACGUAUUACAUUUUUUUCAGAAAUAUGCCUUCUUAAUUUGAUAAUUUUAGUACUACUGAAAUUAUUCUUAUAUUGAUCUAACUUAGAUAAACCUGAAUUUAUUAUUUCUAAUUUAUUCAUUGAACUUAGCAUGUUGCUCAAAUAUUUUAUUGUCCAUUUGUAUAAUAAUGAUCACGUUAUAUGUUACACUGUUGUUGAGGUGACUUAUAGGCCUAUUAGACCGGGUGUUCUUUUAUGCAUUGUAUAUAUGUCUGUCAACACCUUGUACGUAAACACAUGUCACUAUAAUAAAAGAAAGAAAAAUAUUAUCAUAUAUGAUUAUUGGCGUCGCACUGAAGUGCGGCGACUAGUAUGUGAUACGUUUUUUUCGCUUAUGGGAGGAUAAGUUAUUUUACGGAUCAAUGUAUAUAUUUUUGUUUUAAGAAUAUAUUGCAUAGUGGUGAUUUUUUUUUGUAAAUUAGUGUAAAUAAGUACUGCAGUUGUGCCUAUUACAUUUACUACAACAUUUAUUGCCAAUAAUGCAAAGCUAAUUCUUUUAAUUAAUAACUGAUCACUGGGACUGGGCAAUAAUAAAAGAUCACAGGAACUGGGCAAAUACGCGAACCGGUGAAACUUUCUGGUUUUGUAUAAAAACAAAACUUCUUUGUUCCACUAUCCUAGCAACCACCUAGUUACUAAUAACGGCGCUAUAGAGCGCGAAGCGCGGCACGUAUUAUUAAUUGUAGUGAGUCUUGAUAAAGGAAGCAGCCGCUUAUAAAUGAUUAGCACCAUUACAGCACCCAAGUCUCAUUACUAUCAAGUCCUCCUACAGCGUUUUUUUAAGAACCACAUAUAGAAGGCCGCAGGCCUGACCCGUAUCUUGCCAGUGGUAUGGACCCUUUGGUAUGGACCUUUAACCCCGCUCACUAUCCAGCGUUUAAACUUCCGGGUUUACAUUUAAACCGACUAUUAAUAGCUUAUUAAUAUCUUAGUUAGAAGGUGAUUUUUCAAGCGGUUCCGUAGUGUAGUGGUCGCUUCACAUUUGAGAGGCCCAAGGUUCGAGCCCAAGUAUAAUCAAAUUAUUUUAUUUGUGUUCUUUGUUAACUUUUUGUUUUGAUGUAGACAUUUUAGUUUAAAUAAAUAUGCUGUUUUAUUGCAA